GCCAGCCCGCUCAGAAACUCAAAGGAAGUUGACGGGGCCCGGCACAAGCGGAGGAGCAUGUGGUUUAAUUCGAUGAUACGCGAGGAACCUUACCUGGGCUCGAACGUAAGAUGACUGUAGGUGAAAGCUUACAUCUCUUCGGAGCAUUUUACGAGGUGCUGCAUGGUUGUCGUCAGCUCGUGCCGUGAGGUGUCGGGUUAAGUCCCAUAACGAGCGCAACCCCUACCUUUAGUUGCCAUCAGGUUAAGCUGGGGACUCUAAAGGAACUGCCUACGCAAGUAGUGAGGAAGGCGGGGAUGACGUCAAAUCAGCACGGCCCUUACGUCCAGGGCUACACACGUGCUACAAUGGCCGAUACAGAGGGCAGCUACCUGGUGACAGGAUGCAAAUCUCCAAAGUCGGUCUCAGUUCGGAUCGGAGUCUGCAACCCGACUCCGUGAAGUUGGAUUCGCUAGUAAUCGCGCAUCAGCCAUGGCGCGGUGAAUACGUUCCCGGGCCUU
rnacentral:rRNA from 1 species